GGGGGUAGGGCUCAGUGGUAGAGCAUGUGCUUAGCAUGCAUGAAGUCCUGGGUUCAAUCCCCAGUACCUCCA
rnacentral:tRNA from 1 species